AGCAGUCGCCGCGGUAAUACGUAGGUCCCGAGCGUUGUCCAGAUUUAUUGGGCGUAAAGCGAGCGCAGGCGGUUAGAUAAGUCUGAAGUUAAAGGCUGUGGCUUAACCAUAGUACGCUUUGGAAACUGUUUAACUUGAGUGCAAGAGGGGAGAGUGGAAUUCCAUGUGUAGCGGUGAAAUGCGUAGAUAUAUGGAGGAACACCGGUGGCGAAAGCGGCUCUCUGGCUUGUAACUGACGCUGAGGCUCGAAAGCGUGGGGAGCAAACAGGAUUAGAUACCCCCGUAGUCCCUGUCUCUUAUACA
rnacentral:rRNA from 1 species